AACAUGGUGAACGUUCCUAAAACCUGCCGACUUUCUGUAAGAAGUGUGGCAAGCACCAGCCCCACAAAGUGACACAGUACAAGAAGGGCAAGGACUCUAUGCCCAGGGAAAGCGGCAUUAUGACAGGAAGCAGAGUGGCUAUGGUGGGCAGACUAAGCCGAUUUUCUGGCAAAAGGCUAAAACUACAAAGAAGAUUGUGCUGAGGCUUGAGUGUGUGGAGCCCAACUGCAGAUCUAAGAGAAUGCUAGCUAUUAAGAGAUGUAAGCAUUUUGAACUGGGAGGAAAUAAGAAGAGAAAGGGUCAAGUG